rnacentral:rRNA from 1 species
UACGAAGGGGGGCUAGCGUUGUUCGGAAUUACUGGGCGUAAAGCGCACGUAGGCGGAUGUUUUAAGUUAGGGGGUGAAAUCCCAGGGCUCAACCCUGGAACUGCCUCUAAUACUGGGCAUCUAGAGUCCGAGAGAGGUGAGUGGAAUUCCGAGUGUAGAGGUGAAAAUUCGUAGAUAUUCGGAGGAACACCAGUGGCGAAGGCGGCUCACUGGCUCGGUACUGACGCUGAGGUGCGAAAAGCGUGGGGGAGCAAACAGGG